CUGGGCACGGGUUCGGGUGUGCAGACGGCGGGAGAUGUUGGAAGGGUACGCGAUUCGGUAAAAGGACCGACGGAGAGGGCGUUGAUGUCCGUGUGCAAUUGGCGUUUGGAAAGCGCCAGGUGAGAGAGAUCAGAUCGUUCGAUAUGGUUAUCCGUGGGCAUUGAAUUCUUGUUCUGCUUGUGUUCGUCCGAUUUGAUGUUCUCAAAGGUGGCCAAGGAUUUUUAGCUCUGAAAAGAGGUAGAUUAUAGGAGGCGGUCAUCUGUGGGAAGAUUUUUGUUUCUUUCAUUGAUUCCGAUGGGAAAGACGAGAUCUUGCUGAUCGUUAGUGGAAUAUUGGCAAAAGAGAUUCCAUUUUUGUGUGUUUUGGUUCAGAAGAUUGAUUCUGAGAGCGGUAUCCGGUUUCGCAGAUAUGGCUAUGCUUUUUAAUCUUCUCUCUUAUUGGCUUUGGGGAAGAAAAGGUCGUCAAUCUCCCGAGCAAUCACUGAGUUCUUCGUCUGAUUACCUCACGGGGUACAGGGAUCCGGAUUCUUUGAAGAUUGCAGCAGGUAACGUGCCUCAGAUCCGAUCGAAAUGCAUGGGUGAUUUUGAUGAUCCGGAUUGGGCGAUUGGGUGGUUGGAACCGCAUGCAUCCGAGUUCCUGUCUGAGAGCGAGACGGAGAACGGCUUUGCCGUCUUGGUCCCAUGCUAUACGCGAGGUUGCUACGCGCAGGUUGAUUUCUCCAAAGAAGCAUGUUUUGGGUACUAUUGGUCUCAACAACGAUGAUCAUUCUGAAGGCAAAAAGGAUAUCGAACAGUGGCUUGCAGAACAAUUGUCAGCGUGAAACAACUACAAGUAGGCUUGAUCUUUAUAGUGUUCAGUAUAAACUGAAGAUAAGAGGAUAUUGAUACUUGAGAUAAAAAAGGUGAAAAAAGAGAAAAAUGAUUAAAUAAUUAGAAUAGGAGCUGUAGGAUGUUUUGGUAUUUAAACUUGUUGCUGAACUAUCAGAGUGUAUAUUCAGAAGCAAAAAAUUCAUUACAAGUUGCAAGAGAAGUGAAA